GCCCACAGACAGGCCAAGAGUAAAGAUAAAAGCUGUGCCAUUAAACCAGAUGAGAAGUUUUUCCAAAAUCCAGCUGGUCUUCACCCUGGGCAUAGGUUGCCUUAGUUUAAAACCUGAUGAGAAAUUUUUCCCAACUCCAG